rnacentral:rRNA from 1 species
GACGGAGGGUGCUAGCGUUGUUCGGAAUCACUGGGCGUAAAGGGCGCGUAGGCGGCCUUGCAAGUCGGUUGGUGAAAGCCCGGGGCUCAACCCCGGAGGUGCGGCCGAGACUGCAGGGCUGGAGGCCGGAAGAGGAGGGUGGAAUACCCAGUGUAGAGGUGAAAUUCGUAGAUAUUGGGUGGAACACCGGUGGCGAAAGCGGCUCUCUGGCCCGGACCUGACGCUGAGGCGCGAAAGCGUGGGGAGCAAACAGG